rnacentral:rRNA from 1 species
AGGUGUGCUAAUACUAGCACUAAUGUACCGGAUCCCAUCCAAACUCCGCAGCUAAGCUUAUUUAGACGAGAAUUGUACUAAAAUAGAUGACCUCUUGGAAAAUCCUCCUCCUGUUGCACCAU